GCCCGAUUAGCCCAGUGGUUUAAGGCAUCGUACUUAUGCGGAAUUGCUUUCUUUAAAGCAUUCUGAGAUACAGAAAUGCGGAGGUCACGAGUUCGAAUCUCGUAUCGGGUA